CGUCUUCGAUGCUGGUAGAGUCAGCAAGCUCGGCACCUUGUCAGCUGGGAGGGUUUUAAGACUACAUACACGGGGCGGUGGUGAUGCUGUGGAAAUCUGUACUCUCCUCGCCCCUGUUUGAUCCAACGAUGUUGUAAUCUGUGCUCCUCGUUACUCAGGGAGAAGAGGGAAAAAAUAGGGUUAUCACCAUGACUGGAUCAGGGAGGUUCUUCGUUGGUGGGAACUGGAAGUGCAAUGGUAGCACCGCGUCGAUCAAGCAGCUCGUGAACGAACUGAACAGUGCCAGCAUUGAGAACGAUGUCGACGUUGUUGUCGCUCCCCCGUUCCUCUACAUCGGUCAGGUCAUCGGGUCCUUGACCGACCGUAUCGAAGUCUCAGCUCAGAAUUGUUGGGUGGGCAAGGGUGGAGCCUUCACCGGUGAGAUCAGUGCCGAUCAGCUGGUCGAUGUCGGCGUGAAGUGGGUUAUUCAGGGCCACUCUGAGCGCCGGCACGUUAUCGGAGAGUCUAAUGCUACCAUCGGGAAAAAGAGUGCAUAUGCAUUGUCCAAGGGAUUGGGCGUAAUCGCGUGUGUUGGAGAGAAGCUUGAGGAGCGUGAAGCUAGCCGCACCACUGCGGUUGUGUUCGAGCAGCUGCAAGCGUACGCCGACGAGAUUUCUGAUUGGUCUAAAGUCGUCAUAGCGUAUGAGCCAGUGUGGGCUAUUGGCACUGGCAAAGUUGCCACUCCCGAGCAAGCGCAGGAGGUGCACGCUGCUAUCCGUUCGUGGUUGAGCGAGAAGAUUUCGCUUGAGGUUGCCUUGGCUACUCGCAUCAUCUAUGGUGGUUCUGUUAACAGAUCCAACUGUGCUGAGCUUGCGAAGAAAGAGGACAUAGAUGGAUUCCUUGUAGGAGGAGCGUCGCUUAAGGGACCGGAGUUCGUCUCAAUCUGCAAUGCUGUUACUGCAAAGAAGGUUGCAGUAUAAUCUCGGAGCCGCUGCGGACCAAGUUGCUGACAUUGCCUAAAUGCCAAUCGUGAAGGAUAGCAUUUUUUGUCAGCCACAAUACCGAUAUUUGAGUUUCCCUCGGCACUACGAACAGUUUCACCAACGAAUUUUGGGAAAUUUUGCUGCAUACCUUCGGUCGGUGCUGUCUUUUUAGCUAGAUUUCGACUUAUCAUGGGAGUUGUCUCGCAGAAUGAAUCGUGCCCACUUAGCUGAGGAGAAUGGUCCUCAUGCUCUACCAUUCACUCGCCUUCGAGAAACGUGAUGAUGGAAAGGCUCUAGGGACAGCAGGGCGACCAUGCAAGCUGGAACCGUAUCACGGUUGCUGUCACUGGGUGGAUUCGACAUCGAAACGUGAAGUUGCGAGCUGGUUUCCGAGACAUGGUGGGAAUUCGAGAAGUUUUCGAGAAGAGGGUUCCAUUUCAAGUGCGUGGUGUCCAGUGGCUAGACAAGACCUUUGCCACGGAUAGAGGGAGACGGAACAAUGAACUGGAUCAUCGAUGCUGGAAACUUGCAGUUCUUAGAAAGAGGUCUCAAGUUGACCCAUGAAGGGCGUGUGCAUGUCAGAUGUGAUGAACCUCUUAUGCACAACAGACUCUGCAGGUGUAAGUCAAAGGAUCCACGAAUUGAGUUUGGAUACAGUCGAUGGCGACUGGGUGUGAUAUAUUUGUAUGUAGCUUCCAUGCCUGUCUGUGCUUCCAUUGACCGAGCAAGAGGUAUUGAUCAGAACCCAAAGUGUGGUCCAACUGUCAGGGGCUGUCGAAGUGGAGUUUCAGCUGUCCACGACGCUUUUGUCGUAUCCUAUUUUAUUGUAUGCUGAUCCGACAGCGUCAGCAAUCAUGUUCCGCUGUUUGAUUGCAGGGCAUGUGACAGGAGUUGACUUACAGCUCAAGUCUUCUGGGCGUUAGUUUGUUGGAGAUCCGUGUUUGGAUCACUCGGUAGCGCCUCUGUGCUCGUACUCAUUACAACGUGUAUUGAUGACUGAUCUACUGAAGCAAGGAAAACACUAAGGAAAUGCUGCUAAGAACGACAUCAACUCUGCUAUCGAACGGGAGAUUGGUUCCUGGAAGUUCCUUAUUUAAUUCAAUACGCUCCCGAACCAUCGAAAAACGGUGGUGAGAGGGUCGAGCGCCGGAUUGGGAGGGUGAUAGCAAAUAGCUCAAUCAGCUGAAUCCCACGUAACAAUUUCAGCUUGCAGGACUGUUAAUCUUCGCAACAACUUGGUACACAGUUUCUUCGAAACAGGUGUGUGAUUAGUCAAGGUUGUGGUCACGACGCUGUGGAGGGUAACACCGAGCAUGAGAAGGAACAGUAAUAAGAGGAAAAUCAUAACAGUACCCGUGAAGAGUGAGAAAUAAGGGGGAUGGUUAUACAAAAACCAAGCAGGUACAAUUCUUCGUUCUCGGCCAAUCUAAAUAGACUACAGGACAGGCUGCGCGGAGCGCAUCGUCCGGGCUCGAAGCCACAAGCAGAUCGGAGCGCUUGAUUGGCUACUGAGCAGCGCGUCGGCCGACCUGGGAAGAGGGUUCGCGAUAUCUCGAUUUUUACAAAACCUAAUUCCGGAACCCUAAUUUUGCAACCCUAUUGUUCCGUAAUCGAAUUGGUUAUGAGCGUGACAACGCGGCAGGUGGAUUAUGGGAGUUAAUUUAGACGUGCAUGUAACUAAGCCAAAGUUAUUAUGUUGAUUAGUUACAUUUUAAUCA